rnacentral:rRNA from 1 species
CCUACGGGGAGCAGCAGUCGAGAAUCAUUCACAAUGCGGGAAACCCUGAUGGUGCGACGCCGCGUGGGGGAAUGAAGGUCUUCGGAUUGUAAACCCCUGUCAUAUGGGAGCAAAUUAAAAAGAUAGUACCACAAGAGGAAGAGACGGCUAACUCGGUGCCAGCAGCCGCAGUAAUACGGAGGUCUCGAGCGUUGUUAGGAAUCACUGGGCGUAAAGCGUGCGUAGGCGGUUUCGUAAGUCGUGUGUGAAAGGCGCGGGCUCAACCCGAGGAAGGCACAUGAUACUGCGAGACUAGAGUAAUGGAGGGGGAACCGGAAUUCUCGGUGUAGCAGUGAAAUGCGUAGAUAUCGAGAGGAACACUCGUGGCGAAGGCGGGUUCCUGGACAUUAACUGACGCUGAGGCACGAAGGCCAGGGGAGCGAAAGGGAUUAGAUACCCUUGUAGUC